AAGGGGCUAGAGGUUGACACGAGCUAUUCAUCGCAUGAACCUGGUCCAGUCACCAUCAAAGAUAUUGUGUGAGAUCCCUCCAAAACUGAUAUUACAUAACCAGGUCUCGUGGUCUGGUGGUAAAGGAACCUCGGCUUAGGUGUCCGCCAUCACGAGUUCGAGCCCCGGCCACAGCAGAUUUAACAUGGUUUCGGUUUGGCUUCCAGGAUCUUCCUCGCCAGUUUUGGUUGGACGCGGUGGGAUAGUCGGACUAAGUGAAAGGUCCGGAUACUUAGAUUAUCAAAAAAAAAAAAACUGAUAUUACAUGUAUAAAACUAGGGGUGGGCGUUCGGAUACCCAUUCGGGUUCGGUUUGGAUCUAUUCGAGUUUCAGGUUUUCAGGUUCAAAGAUU
rnacentral:lncRNA from 1 species